UACGUAGGGGGCAAGCGUUGUCCGGAUUUAUUGGGCGUAAAGAGCGUGUAGGCGGCCAGACAAGUCCGUUGUGAAAACUAGAGGCUUAACCUCUAGACGUCGAUGGAAACUGUUUGGCUAGAGUCCGGAAGAGGAGAAUGGAGUUCCUGGUGUAGCGGUGAAAUGCGCAGAUAUCAGGAAGAACACCCGUGGCUAAGGCGGUUCUCUAGUACGGUACUGACGCUGAUGCGCGAAAGCUAGGGGAGCGAACGGG
rnacentral:rRNA from 1 species